rnacentral:ncRNA from 1 species
GACGAGAAAUGCGGAUUGUAGUUGAGAAAGAUGUAGCCCCGCGCCUGGUCGAUCGUAUGAAAGAGCGGGUUCCACGUGAAGAAGGCGAGGAUGUAGCCGGGCAUCGCGUUGGCCACGAACAUCUUGCCCGACGCGAUCAUGUUGGCCCGCGA